rnacentral:rRNA from 1 species
UACGAAGGGGGCUAGCGUUGCUCGGAAUUACUGGGCGUAAAGCGCACGUAGGCGGCUUCUUAAGUCGGUGGUGAAAUCCUGGAGCUCAACUCCAGAUCUGCCUUCGAUACUGGGAAGCUCGAGUCCGGGAGAGGUGAGUGGAACUGCGAGUGUAGAGGUGAAAUUCGUAGAUAUUCGCAAGAACACCAGUGGCGAAGGCGGCUCACUGGCCCGGUACUGACGCUGAGGUGCGAAAGCCAGGGGAGCAAACGGG